rnacentral:rRNA from 1 species
UACGAGGGGAGCAAGCGUUGUUCGGAUUUACUGGGCGUAAAGGGCGCGUAGGCGGCGUGACAAGUCACUUGUGAAAUCUCCGGGCUUAACUCGGAACGGUCAAGUGAAACUGUCGUGCUAGAGUACAGAAGGGGCAACUGGAAUUCUCGGUGUAGCGGUGAAAUGCGUAGAUAUCGAGAGGAACACCUGCGGCGAAGGCGGGUUGCUGGGCUGAUACUGACGCUGAUGCGCGAAAGCAUGGGGAGCGAACAGG